rnacentral:rRNA from 1 species
AUUGAACGCUGGCGGCAGGCCUAACACAUGCAAGUCGAACGCGUCGCGGACUUGUGUGUUAUGUCUGGGCAACUCCCUGAUGGCGGGGGAUACCUACUGGAAACUGUACCUAAUCCCGCAUACCAUCCUCUGUGCCCAGAGUGGAUUAGCUAGUUGGUGGGGUAACGGCUCACCAAGGCGACGAUCCCUAGCUGGUCUGAGAGGAUGACCAGCCACACUGGAACUGAGACACGGUCCAGACUCCUACGGGAGGCAGCAGUGGGGAAUAUUGCACAAUGGGCGCAAGCAUGAUGCAGCCAUGCCGCGUGUAUGAAGAAGGCCGUCGGGUUGUAAAGGACUUUCAGCGGGGAGGCGGGAAACGAAGAAGAAGCAACGGCUAACUCCGUGCCAGCAGCCGCGGUAAUAG